UCGGAUAGAGUCUCUAGGGAGCGAGAGCUGUUUGUGAAGAUGUAUAUGCACGUUUCAACUCUUGCAGUGACGACGAGUUUUAAAGUAAACUCUUCGACUCCGAUGUCCAUGUAAGAAAAUUGAAUUAGCUAGAAAGAAUAUGAUAAAGAAAUGUGCGAAUAAAAGUUAAUAUAACUUGUGAGCUUACAACGCAACAAAUAAUUUUUAUAUGCUACGAAAAUUGACUAACUGAUCUCAUAUUUCUUUGACUCGAAUAAAUCUUUACAAAAACCCAUAUUUGGAACUCCCUUUCUAUGAUUAAACACGAGGAAUAGAUGGACUGCAAGAAAAGUUAAAGUACCUUAAAGACAAAUUUAUCUAGAGUUAAAAAGGGACUCUGAAGGCUCCUUUUAUAUCCAAAAUAAAGGAGGGCUUGCAACGGUUCUCUAGUUUGAAUUCUUGGAAAGCCCAAAUCACAGAGAGCAAACAAAGGGAUGAAAUUGGAUAUAAAAGAAAAAGAUUGAAUUUUUACCUUAGGGUUAAUUUAAAAAGGGAAAGAGAUGGCUUGGAAGCUUUUACUUUCGGACCCAUUAAAUUAAGGUUGGAAUCGAAGGUGAAACCACCUUGAAUCCAUUGAAUCUUCAAAUUUAUCAUCUUCUCCCUAAAUUGCAGAUUUUUGGCUCUAUUUUUGCUUUAGAAAAGUGAUGGAAGAGAUGGGUGAUGUUGACGGACAUGGAAAUAGAAUUGGGGAGAGAAGAGACCACUGGAUUUUCCAUUAUCCUGUGGUUUCGGGGUUGCUCAACGUCACUGGUGGAUAUUAUUUUUGUUGUUGC
rnacentral:lncRNA from 1 species